AGCGAACGCUGGCGGCAGGCCUAACACAUGCAAGUCGAACGAACUCUUCGGAGUUAGUGGCGGACGGGUGAGCAACACGUGGGAACGUGCCUUUAGGUUCGGAAUAACUCAGGGAAACUUGUGCUAAUACCGAAUGUGCCCUUCGGGGGAAAGAUUUAUCGCCUUUAGAGCGGCCCGCGUCUGAUUAGCUAGUUGGUGAGGUAAAGGCUCACCAAGGCGACGAUCAGUAGCUGGUCUGAGAGGAUGAUCAGCCACAUUGGGACUGAGACACGGCCCAAACUCCUACGGGAGGCAGCAGUGGGGAAUCUUGCGCAAUGGGCGAAAGCCUGACGCAGCCAUGCCGCGUGAAUGAUGAAGGUCUUAGGAUUGUAAAAUUCUUUCACCGGGGACGAUAAUGACGGUACCCGGAGAAGAAGCCCCGGCUAACUUCGUG
rnacentral:rRNA from 1 species